GACUCUCAACCACUGUGCCACCAGGGAAGCCCGCUCUUUUCACUUUUUUUAAAGGUGUUGGUUAUAAAGAUAUUGGUCACUUUGGCUUUCCUGGGCUUGCGUGUAGUUCCCCAGCAAAAUCAUGUUCUGGCGAAGUCUACCCAUCAAGUCACGAUGGGACCUGUGUCCCAGUCUCUGGUUCUCUGCAUACCAACUGGGUGACUUCAGUGUUCAUGAGGAUGACUCAGCCAACACCUUGGCCUCUUCCAGUUCAGAGAUGAUCAUCACAGUUCAUAAUCUUUUGUACUCAACGGCACCACCUUAAGAAAUGCUCCCUGCUGGAGUCAAAUACUCACUUGGCCCAUGGACCUCUCUCUUUUCAGAUCUCCCACAUUAAUACUCCAUGUAUGCUUUUCAACAGUACUGUGAAAAAUGUGUGUACUCUGGGCAAUUCCACUUCAGGAACUUACUCUAAAUAAUCGGUGAUGUGCCAAAGACAUGUACAAGGGUGAUGAAAAAAUGAAAACAACGUAAUAUCCAACAAUUACGUUACAUUAUUAUGGAAUAAUACACUAUCAAUAAAUUUAUUUUGGAAGAACA